rnacentral:lncRNA from 1 species
CUAGCCCUGCCCAGCGCCUGUCUGGCGGUCGGCUCAACCCCUGCGCCCUUCUGGAAAUCGGCAUGUAGGCCAGGACACCUUGGGCUUCUCUCCCUGGGGCAGCCUUGAUCUGUGGAUCAUAUUGAAUCAUAUUGAAACGCAUUAAGCAUCACGACUGCCAGCGAAAGCUGUUCCGUUCUUGAAAGUUCAGUUUCGUCCAUCGAAAAUUUCAUUCACGUUACUUUCAAUCUUUAGGCAAAACUGGCAAGCAAGCCGCAUAGGCUUAGAGUCAGUGCAAAAUCUAGGCUGUACAGCGAGGCGGCCUUGGAGGUCAUCUUAAGCCUGUGUCAGAAUGACCUUGCAACCCUUCACCUCGUGACGGAAGACGCCAGCGAGAAAAGAUCUGCAACCAGAAGAGAGAAAGGGUACCCAGCUCUCAUACCCUCUCGCUACGUCUUUAGGUUCGGGGGGGUACCUCGCCACCCUGGGACUUGCCUCCCUCCCCACAUAGAUGACAUCAGCAUUCCAGGGUACGUAACCAAGAAAUUCUUACUUUAUAAACGAGAGAAAAACCAGAUGUACCCUGCCACGGAGGGAGGGUUUCGCCGUUUGAUUGUUGGCGUAUAGGACUGUUCAUGAGUAAGCCCCUUUCUGCUCUUAUGGACGGCCUCGUAAGAAGGCACAUAAACUGUGCUCAGAUCUGUAGACCUCCGUCAGAGCAGUUCCUGCAGGACGCUCUGUUGAGCUGUUUCCCAGGCUCGAGUCCUCACCUUUGGUUAUUGAACGAACUCUUUCAAGUAACUUUUAUCACGAUUCUUUAUUUCAGUUGACAUUAUUCAUGUUUGCACCUCCUGGGCUCAUCCACUUUCCUGAACUUGAACCCGGGGACCCGAGGGUCACCGUCAAUAGUCAAUGUGACCUUUCGACCUUGUCCCCAACACAGACCUAGCUGAAAGGAAGUCAGUCUUGUCAAUUUGCCGUUUUCUUGUUU